CAAUGAUGUUGUUCAUCUUAAGCUUUUUGUGAAUUUUCAGUACUAUCCAACUCCAAAAAAUUAAUUAAUUUGCUAUACAUUCUGUUGAAUUUGUUUCAGUUGUAUCUGCCAGCAAAUGGGUGUGUGCCACUGCGAUGGAUAACAUGUCCUUGUGGCAUGCUCAUAUGGACCGAAAAAAAAGUUGGAAAGAACGCUUGAAGUAGGUCCACUUGGUG
rnacentral:misc_RNA from 1 species